CAGCUCUCCGAGUGGUAGGGAUGAUUAUUGGGCUUAAAGCGUCCGUAGCCGGCUUAGCAAGUCUCCUGUUAAAUUCAGCGACCUAAUCGUUGAUCCGCGGGAGAUACUACUAGGCUAGGAGGCGGGAGAGGUCGACGGUACUUCUGGGGUAGGGGUGAAAUCCUAUAAUCCCGGGAGGACCACCAGUGGCGAAGGCUGUCGACUAGAACGCGCUCGACGGUGAGGGACGAAAGCUGGGGGAGCGAACCGGAUUAGAUACCCGAGUAGUCC
rnacentral:rRNA from 1 species